rnacentral:misc_RNA from 1 species
CCUCUUCUGGCCUUCUCCUCGUGCUAGCACGAUGACUCUGCGCUUGCGCCGCACUUUCUUUUGUCCUCUGCUUCCCCACUGCGUCAGCGUGACUACCUGCACACUCAUACAGAUGAGCGCGUGAGGAGCCACGCUAUUUUUGGCUGCCAGCGCCUGCAGGCGUUGCCCUUCGAGCAAGGGGACGGGCAAGAGCCUCACGAUCACCCAUGCUCUGUGGGCCGCGGUGGCAUUCUCUAAGCUUAUGAUUCUCGUGGAGGCGGUUGGUGGCGACAUGCUGGGCAAUCUUGUCGUGCUGUGCGAUGACGCUGAUAUUCUAGCUUACCACUUCACCCUUCGUGCCCCUCUGUUCUCCGCCUAGGCGCCCAGGUGGCAUGCGAAGGAUCGCUGCACAUUUGCGUGGCGCCGCGCUCAGGUGAUUGGCGCGAUGGCGUCUGUCUUUACCACCUGCGGCCCGCUGUGCGGAUCACCAGCAGCCCCUUCCAGUGGCUUCCAAGCGUGUCCCUGUGCGCCAUGUAUGAUGACGAGCAGGGGAUGGGGGAUGGGACGGAGAGGUGCUGCCGACGCCUUUUAUGACGGGGCUGGGGUGCUUUGGCUUCGUCAUGAACGUGCUUUUCAACAGCAUGCGGUACUGCAGUAGCGAGCACGCACAGUCUCCCGGCAGCCUCUUCGAGGGCCAUGACGAUGACCAGGGCCGCAGUCACGAGGACGGCGGGCACCAUCACUACGAAAAUGGCCACGAGGACGACCACGGCAGCGUACACGCUCGGCUUCUCUCCACGUAGGAUCACCAGCGCGAUCGGCAGACAUCUGCGGCGGCUUACACGGCGUGCGUUUGAGCCGUGCCUCAGACGCCGAGGCGCUAUCGCAAGAUGCAAGGCACCACCGUAUUCCCCUUCUCCACGUCUUCGGCGACUGACUGCCUGCCUUGGGGGUAGUGGCGCCAGCUGGCGUGACGGCGGUGUGCAACUCGUGCAAGCACCACGCAGCCAGCACGUUGCACCGCUAGGUCAACCUGGUGGAUCCUAUCCUGUCCCUUGUGUUUCACAUGAUCACGAUCCACACCCCGCGAAGGACCUUGCCGUGGAGAGGUGGCAGAUCGUGAUGGAUUGGGUGUCGACGAUGCUCUCCCAACAGGAUUGUACGUGUAAAACCGCUGGCCGACAACACAGUGGACGAAGUGCUUCACCUCUAUGUUUGGAUGGCUUCGACUCAACUUCUCUGUCCUCCGCGCCACACUCAGUACGUCGCACGACCUCCCCGCCGCUGAAGCGCAGCGGCUCAUCAAGGGACACACCGACCGGUGCGUGGCGAUGGGUGCGCAGCACUGCACGUUUCAGCUCGAGUAGAGCUAGCACGCGCGCAGGUAGGGUGCACCGGUAGCAACGAGGCGUAUCGGCGUUGCAGUCGUGUAGAAAUCAGCGGAUACGAAGUCGUAGCGAUCCAGAAUGCGAUAUCCCUCUCAGUGACGCGCCACUUCAGCUGGUGGCAUGCUGUCUGUUGACAGAACGGCGCACCAAAGGAAGGAGCGUGUGGGGGGUAAAUCAGGACGAUGUAGGGCGAGCCUGACGAGGAAGAAUAGCCUUCUUUGGUUUGACGGCUACGCGGCUUCACAGAGAAGUUUGCACCUCUCUUUUCCUCGUGCUGCCUUCUCCCCCGCACUUAGAUGACUCGCGUCUAUCCUGUGCAAAGACUUGAUGAGUCCGUCUCUGUAUGUUGGCGCUAGGCGUGUUCGUGUUUGUUGCUGAGCCAGGGCUCGUGCGUCUCCUCUGCCUUCUUUCCAGUCGAUUACUCACCUCCUCCUCGUGUUACCGUGGGCGUUUGCGUUUUUGAUGUUUUUUUUUCUAUUUUGCCUGCUGACAUGCGCUACGCUCUCCUUGUUUGCGCACACCUGGUGGCACACAUGCGGAAUGGUAAUCAUUCUUGCCUUUGUGUUUUUUUUUUUGCAACCUCAGCUGCUCUCCGCGCCUUUUCCCGUGCGUCGCUGGCCUUCACUGUCUCUAUCUGUUUGUUGGUUCCUUUUCUUCUGGUGCCCUCGCCAUGCACACACACGUACAGGCGUUUGUGUCUCUCUGUAGAUGAAUGUUUGGGCAGACACCCCCUGCACAAACUCCCUUGCUCUCGAGCGUUUCGUUUCUUUGAGUUUAUCUUUGCCUCGCUGUCUCGCCUCGCCUUGACGCUGGCUUUUAUGUAGGUUAUUUCGCUCAUUCUCAUCGUCCACCGCCUUCCCCCUUCUCUCUCUGUGACUCCAACCGUAAGCCCCAGCGUGUUGCACAGUUGUGUGUGUACAUGGGGAAAGGGGGAGACGCUUAACUCUUGUUGUUUCAGUACUGCUGCUUGUAGAGGGUAGAGGACGUAGGGAAGGACGAGAGCGUGUGCGUCCGCAUGCCAGUCUGUCCGCCUAGCUUGCUUGUGACGCAGUUUACUAAGUGCUCCGAUCUUUUUGUCGCUGCACACUUUUCGACCGCUGCUGGCCCCCUGGAUUUGCGUGUGCUUCAUAAUGAUGGCUCGUUUUGUAUCUUUGGUGUCGUAACGUGCGCUUCCUCUUUCGUUGCGUCUCGCGCCUCUCAAGAUGCUGACCAGAGGAUGUCGCUGUGGUGGAGGAAUGAGGAUGAACGUGGUUGGCGCAAGCGAGGCCAUAGAAG